rnacentral:rRNA from 1 species
AUGCUCCUGUCGCUAGAUGAGUCCGCGGCCCAUUAGCUAGUUGGUAGGGUAAUGGCCUACCAAGGCGACGAUGGGUAGCCGGCCUGAGAGGGUGACCGGCCACACUGGGACUGAGACACGGCCCAGACUCCUACGGGAGGCAGCAGUAGGGAAUUUUCGGCAAUGGGCGCAAGCCUGACCGAGCAACGCCGCGUGAGUGAAGAAGGCCUUCGGGUUGUAAAGCUCUGUUGUAAGGGAAGAAUGGCCAAGAGAGGGAAUGCUCUUGGAGUGACGGUACCUUACCAGAAAGCCACGGCUAACUACGUGCCAGCAGCCGCGGUAAUACGUAGGUGGCAAGCGUUAUCCGGAAUUAUUGGGCGUAAAGGGAGCGUAGGCGGUUUGAUAAGUCUGAGGUGAAAUUCUUCGGCUCAACCGGCGUAUGGCCAUAGAAACUGUCAGACUAGAGUGCAGGAGAGGGCAAUGGAAUUCCAUGUGUAGCGGUAAAAUGCGUAGAUAUAUGGAGGAACACCAGUGGCGAAGGCGGCUUCCUGGCCUGUAACUGACGCUGAGGCUCGAAAGCGUGGGGAGCAAAUAGGAUUAGAUACCCUAGUAGUCCACGCUGUAAACGAUGAUUACUAAGUGUUGGAGGGUUUCCGCCCUUCAGUGCCGAAGCUAACGCAAUAAGUAUUCCGCCUGGGGAGUAUGCACGCAAGUGUGAAACUCAAAGGAAUUGACGGGACCCCGCACAAGCGGUGGAUUAUGUUGUUUAAUUCGACGCAACGCGAAGAACCUUACCUGGUCUUGACAUCCCGGGAAUCUUUAGGAAACGACUUCUUAGUUUACUAAGACACAGAGACAGGUGGUGCAUGGUUGUCGUCAGCUCGUGUCGUGAGAUGUUGGGUUAAGUCCCGCAACGAGCGCAACCCUUGUCUUUAGUUACCAUCAUUCAGUUGGGGACUCUAGAGAGACUGCCGGUGAUAAACCGGAGGAAGGUGGGGAUGACGUCAAAUCAUCAUGCCCCUUAUGGCCUGGGCUACAAACGUAAUACAAUGGCGUAUACAAAGGGAUGCGAAAGGGCGACCUGGAGCAAAACUCACAAAGUACGUCUCAGUUCAGAUUGGAGUCUGCAACUCGACUCCAUGAAGGCGGAAUCGCUAGUAAUCGCGGAUCAGCAUGCCGCGGUGAAUACGUUCCCGGGUCUU